rnacentral:rRNA from 1 species
CCUACGGGUGGCAGCAGUGAGGAAUAUUGGUCAAUGGCCGAAAGGCUGAACCAGCCAAGUCGCGUGAAGGAAGACGGCUCUAUGGUUUGUAAACUUCUUUUAUAGGGGAAUAAAUGUAUCCACGUGUGGAUAUUUGCAUGUAUCCUAUGAAUAAGCAUCGGCUAACUCCGUGCCAGCAGCCGCGGUAAUACGGAGGAUGCGAGCGUUAUCCGGAUUUAUUGGGGUUAAAGGGUGCGUAGGCUGUGUUUUAAGGUAGCGGUGAAAUAUUGGGGUUCAACUAGAAAACUGCCGUUGAAACUGGAGGGCUAGAGUGUAGGUGAGGUAAGUGGAAUGCGUGGUGUAGCGGUGAAAUGCAUAGAUAUCACGAAGAACACCGAUGGCGAAGGCAGCUUACUAGACCAUAACUGACGCUGAGGCACGAAAGCGUGGGGAGCAAACAGGAUUAGAUACCCUAGUAGUC